rnacentral:rRNA from 1 species
CCUACGGGAGGCAGCAGUGAGGAAUAUUGGUCAAUGGGCGAGAGCCUGAACCAGCCAAGUCGCGUGAGGGAGUACUGCCCUAUGGGUUGUAAACCUCUUUUGUCGGGGAGCAAAAGCCGGACGUGUCCGGCUGUGAGAGUACCCGAAGAAAAAGCAUCGGCUAACUCCGUACCAGCAGCCGCGGUAAUACGGAGGAUGCGAGCGUUAUCCGGAUUUAUUGGGUUUAAAGGGUGCGCAGGCGGAUUUUUAAGUCAGCGGUAAAAUCGUGGGGCUCAACCCCAUCCAGCCGUUGAAACUGGGGAUCUAGAGUGUGCGAGAGGUAUGCGGAAUGCGUGGUGUAGCGGUGAAAUGCAUAGAUAUCACGCAGAACCCCGAUUGCGAAGGCAGCAUACCGGUGCACAACUGACGCUCAGGCACGAAAGCGUGGGUAUCGAACAGGAUUAGAUACCCGGGUAGUC